UACAAAACAAAAUUCCAUGGAAUUUUUCUUAACUGUCCCCACUCACGAGAUAUCCACCGACAACGGACCCUAGAUGCGUAGAGUGGAGUUGGAGUAAAACAAAUAACAGCAGAAAAAAAAUUGACGAAGAAGGCGCAGUUUAAGCAGGAGAGACCUAUGAACAAAAUCAAGGGUCAGACCAAAAAGAAACUAACAAUAGAAAUUAAUAGAAAAAUCUGUACUUUAUUUUGUAAAUAAAAUCAUUUCAUAUCAA